rnacentral:rRNA from 1 species
UACGAAGGGAGCUAGCGUUGUUCGGAAUUACUGGGCGUAAAGGGCGCGUAGGCGGUAUCAUAAGUCAGAUGUGAAAGCCCCGGGCUUAACCUGGGAUGUGCAUUUGAAACUGUGGAACUAGAGAUCGAGAGAGGAAAGUGGAAUUACGAGUGUAGAGGUGAAAUUCGUAGAUAUCGAGAGGAACACCGGUGGCGAAGGCGGCCAACUGGACGAAUACUGACGCUGAGACACGAAAGCGUGGGGAGCAAACAGG